ACUUUCAGCAACGGAUCUCUUGGCUCUCGCAUCGAUGAAGAACGCAGCNAAAUGCGAUAAGUAAUGUGAAUUGCAGAAUUCAGUGAAUCAUCGAAUCUUUGAACGCACCUUGCGCCCCUUGGUAUUCCGAGGGGCAUGCCUGUUUGAGUGUCAUUA
rnacentral:rRNA from 1 species